rfam:Halobacteroides halobius DSM 5150, complete genome.
GAAUCCUUUAAAUUAGUCCAGAGAGGCUAACAAGGGUAGCGUAGUUUAAUAAUGAAUAUUUUUAGCUCUUAGUAUAUCUAGAGCUUACUAUAUAAAUUAUGACUUCCCUUGUCAGUCGUUGCUGGCAGGGGAAGUCUUAUUUUU